rnacentral:rRNA from 1 species
AGAUUGAACGCUGGCGGCAUGCCUAACACAUGCAAGUCGAACGGGAGUAGCAAUACUCUAGUGGCGGACGGGUGAGGAAUACGUAGGAAUUUGCCCUUAAGUGGGGGACAACCCGGGGAAACCCGGAUUAAUACCGCAUGACCUCGAAAGAGCAAAGUGGGGGAUCGCAAGACCUCACGCUUUUGGAGAAGCCUACGUCGGAUUAGCUAGUUGGUGAGGUAAUGGCUCACCAAGGCGACGAUCCGUAACUGGUCUGAGAGGAUGAUCAGUCACACCGGAACUGAGACACGGUCCGGACUCCUACGGGAGGCAGCAGUGGGGAAUAUUGGACAAUGGGCGCAAGCCUGAUCCAGCAAUGCCGCGUGUGUGAAGAAGGCCUU